CAGAUUCUGAAUUUGACCACCUAAAGAGUCCAGGUGAUUGUAAACUCUGGCCCAGAAGAAUGAUGAGCAAAGAGAGGACUGAACUGUGGACUGGGGUGGAUGAAGGCAAAUGCACAGGACAAUCCAUUUUUGUAUCUUUGGAUUUCGUUUACUCCAAAGUAUAUAACUCUUUGAAUGAGUGGUAGAAUUUGGCCUGAAGACAGCUUUGCCAGGCUGAGACAGCACUGACACCUUUUUCUGGUACAAGAUGGAAGUAAGACUUUGGCCUUAUGAUUGGAACUGUUCAGUUCUGAGAUAUGUGCACUUCACAUCCUUGGCCUGCUUCUCUGUC
rnacentral:lncRNA from 1 species